rnacentral:rRNA from 1 species
CCCUGCCCUUUGUACACACCGCCCGUCGCUACUACCGAUUGAACGUUUUAGUGAGGUAUUUGGAUUGGACCUUGAGAGGUUAACGCCUUUCUUGUGUCCGAGAAGACUCCCAAACUUGAGCGUUUAGA